rnacentral:lncRNA from 1 species
ACGCCUCCUCAGGCUCUAUGCUCGGAAUAUUCCUGAAAAAUUCACAAACUGAAUUAAUGCCUUUUAAAAGUACAUUUAAUCUUUAAAAUUUCGAACCAAAACAGUUGUUACUUUUUCUUUAGAAAUCAACCGAAAAAAGUUGGUCCCUAAAUGACAAAAAAAUAUUUUUAUAGCAAGCAAUGUAAUAGAUAACAAGAAUGUGUCCCUAGUACACG